UACGGGGGGGGCAAGCGUUGUUCGGAAUUUUUGGGCGUAAAGGGCGCGUAGGCGGCCAAGUAAGUCAAAGGUGAAAUCCCUCGGCUCAACUGAGGAAUUGCCUUUGAAACUGCGUGGCUUGAGGCCGGGAGGGGGUAGCGGAAUUCCCAGUGUAGCGGUGAAAUGCGUAGAUACUGGGAGGAACACCAGUGGCGAAGGCGGCUACCUGGACCGGUUCUGACGCUGAUGCGCGAAAGCGUGGGGAGCAAACAGG
rnacentral:rRNA from 1 species